GCAUCUUUUUAUCAUAUAAUGUGUUCCGUAAUAGGGUCAAACCGUAUAUAAAUAUAUUUGAGAACUCAGUUACUUCAAGCACCAUGACCAGUUCAGUGAUUUGAAGUCUGCAUGCGCAGGGUUUUGCUGUGAAGCAUUGCAUAUACCGAGUGUAACCCCUUGGUUGCCAGAGGGGCAACUCCUCCUCCCGCCGAUUCAUGUGGUGUCAUUAGGCAAUAAUUAAUACUCUCAG